rnacentral:rRNA from 1 species
GAUGAACGCUGGCGGCGUGCCUAAUACAUGCAAGUCGAGCGAACAGACGAGAGUGCUUGCACUCUCUGACGUUAGCGGCGGACGGGUGAGUAACACGUGGGUAACCUACCUAUAAGACUGGGAUAACUUCGGGAAACCGGAGCUAAUACCGGAUAAUAUUUAGCUUCGCAUGAAGCAAUAGUGAAAGACGGUUCUGCUGUCACUUAUAGAUGGACCCGCGGUGUAUUAGCUAGUUGGUGAGGUAACGGCUCACCAAGGCAACGAUACAUAGCCGACCUGAGAGGGUGAUCGGCCACGCUGGGACUGAGACACGGCCCAGACUCCUACGGGAGGCAGCAGUAGGGAAUCUUCCGCAAUGGACGAAAGUCUGACGGAGCAAUGCCGCGUGAGUGAAGAAGGUUUUCGGAUCGUAAAACUCUGUUGUAAGGGAAGAACAAGUACGUUAGUAACUGAACGUACCUUGACGGUACCUUACCAGAAAGCCACGGCUAACUACGUG